CGGCCUAAAUUACUACAACACG
rnacentral:miRNA from 1 species